rnacentral:rRNA from 1 species
UCUGGUGGCGAUAGCGAAGAGGUCACAGUCACACCCGUUCCCAUGCCGAACACGGCCGUUAAGCUCUUCAGCGCCAAUGGUAGUUGGGGGCUUCCCCCUGCAAGAGUAGGACGUUGCCAGGC